rnacentral:tRNA from 1 species
GUUUUUAUAGUUUAAAAUAAAACAUUGGUCUUGUAAACCAAAAUUAAGUAUUAUACUUUAAAAACU